AUUUUGCAUCAGUGGAAUGUUUUCUUUUGUUUUUGCGUUGAUUUCACAUCUUUUAGAGAUAUGUUUUUGAGGUGAUUUCACCUCUGUGUUGAUUUUGUGCCAUUUUUGGGAGAUUUCUUGUGUUGAUUUUUAGUUUUUUGUGAUGAUUUCUUGUCUUUGUACUGAUUUUUUGACUUUUUGUGAUUAUUUUGUGUCUGUAAAAUCAAUUUUGUCUGGAAAAGCAACACAUAAAGGUGAGAAAUCAACCACAAAGAGACACAAAACAACCACAAAAAGACACAAAACCAUCACAAAAUGACAACAAAAAGACAGAAAAUGAAUGAAGGUCUUGUAAUUCUUAGCUAAGCUAAGCUAUUAAUUUAUUAUUCAUUUUACGGAUUUGUUUUUCUUCUGUGACUCCUUAAAUCAGAAGCCAAACUGACGUCAGUACGGUAGAAUAAUACAGAGACGUUUUCACUCAGACUCUGCAGAAUAAACUCUUCAGUUUUCUCAGAUUGUCUGAUUUCUGCUGCUUUGUUCUGCCUGCAGGAUUCAUCUUCAUCCUGCUGCUCAGCUUCUCUGUUCGUCUCUUUUCCAGAGAAGCCCUCAGAGCUUCCCCGGCUGCAGCUGCUUCAUCUCCUGGUUGUCGAACACGGUGUUGCCCGAGGCGUCGGCUUCCUCCGGCGUCCCGCGGCGAUCGCACAUCUUCUUCACCUGCAGAGCCUCAUGACUGUUUCAUGACCGAACUGCCGGCCGAACGGCGUCGACGUUUCAGGAACAAGACGGUCCAUCGAUCGCAGCGGCAGAAAAUCAAAGCGGCGUCGCUAUCAGCUGAUCACCUCCAGGCUUCGCUGCGUUUCAUGUUCAGACGUUCAUCAGAGAUUCUCCUUCACCAUUUGCUCAAGGACACGUCAAGAACUGACACUGAGAUCCUCUACUUCAGUCAGAAAAUCAAACAAACAGCGAGAACACGGUGAAGACGGCGUCCUUGAAUUCAACAAUACAGUCACUUUGGCAGUGUGUUCAAGGGCACGUCGAGAACUGACACAAGCGCUGCAAUAAAGCCUCGUCAGAAAAUCAAACCCGGGAGCCGGACGACGACAGGUGAUACCGGACGGCUAAUCUAAGGCAGUGUGCUGAAACCCAGAGCUGUGGUGUUGGAGACAGAUGAUAUAAACUCUGAAAACACCACUGCUGGAAGUGUCCGUGAUGAAAUGGAUUUCGACGCUUCAGGAAAAUAAAAACAAGAUUCCAGUGAGUGAAAAGACGCCUGAAUGUGUCCAACAGGUGUUACUUUAAACGCCUGCACCGACCUGAACAGGUACGUUUGAAUUUACAGGCAAUCGAAUGGAAGAAGGAUGUUUGUUUUGUGGUGUCGAGUGCCGUUCAAAAAUCAAAUUUUUUAAAAAUGUUUUUGCCAGUUUUAGACACAUCUGGUGCCAGAAAGUGUCUGUUUUUAUGACAAAAUCUUCUCGUUGCUCAGUUUCUCAGCUUUUUAUUUAGUUUAUUAAUAUUCUGUCAACAGACAAAGUCAUUGAUUAAUAAAUUAAAUUAAAUUAAUAAAACUUACAUUUUAUAAGAUCUUCAUGUGUUUUAUAUGUAAAAUCUAGUAGCUGUAGCUGCUUUAAAAAGUGAGCUAAACUGGGUUAAAAAAUAUGCUUCACAUCAUGAUGCUGCCACCACCAUGCUUCAUAUCAUGAUGAUGCUGCCACCACCGUGCUUCACAUCAUGAUGCUGCCACCACCAUGCUUCACAUCAUGAUGCUGCCACCACCGUGCUUCACAUCAUGAUGCUGCCACCACCGUGCUUCACAUCAUGAUGCUGCCACCACCGUGCUUCACAUCAUGAUGCUGCCACCACUGUGCUUCACAUCAUGAUGCUGCCACCACCAUGCUUCUCUUCAUGAUGCUUCCACCACCAUGCUUCACAUCAUGAUCCAAUUUAACAUGUAAAUUAAUAAGUUUUUCUGUUAUUUUACUAGAUGUUAUUUGUAUUUAACAAAACAAGUAAAAUCUGUAAAAUCACAAUAUUUUUUCUUGAUUUAAACGCAGGAAAAAUAGUAACAUUUUAUGAGUGAAUAGUGUUUUAAAAAAUUAACAUUUAUAAAAACUACGGAUUUUCUUUUAUGUGGAUAUUAUUUUCAGUAUGUUUUUAAU